rnacentral:rRNA from 1 species
CCUACGGGAGGCAGCAGUGAGGAAUAUUGGUCAAUGGCCGGAAGGCUGAACCAGCCAAGCCGCGUGAAGGAUGAAGGUACAGAGUAUCGUAAACCUCUUUUGUCAGGGAACAAAGGCGGGGACGUGUCCCCGGAGGAGUGUACCUGAAGAAAAAGCAUCGGCUAACUCCGUGCCAGCAGCCGCGGUAAUACGGAGGAUGCGAGCGUUAUCCGGAUUUAUUGGGUUUAAAGGGUGCGCAGGCGGUCUGUUAGGUCAGCGGUCAAAGCCCGGGGCACAACCCCGGCCCGCCGUUGAAACUGGCAGUCUCGAGUUGGAGAGAAGUAUGCGGAAUGCGCGGUGUAGCGGUGAAAUGCAUAGAUAUCGCGCAGAACUCCGAUUGCGAAGGCAGCAUGCCGGCUCCACACUGACGCUGAGGCACGAAAGCGUGGGUAUCGAACAGGAUUAGAUACCCGUGUAGUC